CGCGUAGGCGGUUUGUUUCGUUAGGCGUGAAAUUCCUGGGCUCAACCUGGGGACUGCGCUUAAGACAAGCAGACUGGAGUGUGAAAGAGGGUCGUGGAAUUCCCAGUGUAGAGGUGAAAUUCGUAGAUAUUGGGAAGAACACCGGUGGCGAAGGCGGCGACCUGGUUCAUUACUGACGCUGAGGCGCGAAAGCGUGGGGAGCAAACAGGAUUAGAUACCCUGGUAGUCCACGCCGUAAACGAUGUGUGCUGGAUGUUGGGUGACCUAGUCACUCAGUGUCGUAGCUAACGCGGUAAGCACACCGCCUGGGGAGUACGGCCGCAAGGUUGAA
rnacentral:rRNA from 1 species